GAUGAACGCUGGCGGCGUGCCUAAUACAUGCAAGUCGAGCGAACAGACGAGGAGCUUGCUCCUCUGACGUUAGCGGCGGACGGGUGAGUAACACGUGGAUAACCUACCUAUAAGACUGGGAUAACUUCGGAAAACCGGAGCUAAUACCGGAUAAUAUAUUGAACCGCAUGGUUCAAUAGUGAAAGACGGUUUUGCUGUCACUUAUAGAUGGAUCCGCGCCGCAUUAGCUAGUUGGUAAGGUAACGGCUUACCAAGGCAACGAUGCGUAGCCGACCUGGGAGGGGGAUCGGCCACACUGGAACUGAGAGACGGUCCAGACUCCUACGGGAGGCAGCAGGAGGGAAUCUUCCGCCAUGGGCGAGAGCCUGACGGUGCAACGCGGCGUGAGUUAUGAAGGUCCUCGGACCGUGAAACUCUGUUAUCUGGGGAGAACAAAAGUGUAAGUACCUAUGCACGUCUUGACGGUACCUUAUCAGAAAGCCACGGCUAACUACGUG
rnacentral:rRNA from 1 species